rnacentral:rRNA from 1 species
CAAGUCGAGCGAAUGGAUUAGGAGCUUGCUCUGAUGAAGUUAGCGGCGGACGGGUGAGUAACACGUGGGUAACCUGCCCAUAAGACUGGGAUAACUCCGGGAAACCGGGGCUAAUACCGGAUAACAUUUUGAACCGCAUGGUUCGAAAUUGAAAGGCGGCUUCGGCUGUCACUUAUGGAUGGACCCGCGUCGCAUUAGCUAGUUGGUGAGGUAACGGCUCACCAAGGCAACGAUGCGUAGCCGACCUGAGAGGGUGAUCGGCCACACUGGGACUGAGACACGGCCCAGACUCCUACGGGAGGCAGCAGUAGGGAAUCUUCCGCAAUGGACGAAAGUCUGACGGAGCAACGCCGCGUGAGUGAUGAAGGCUUUCGGGUCGUAAAACUCUGUUGUUAGGGAAGAACAAGUGCUAGUUGAAUAAGCUGGCACCUUGACGGUACCUAACCAGAAAGCCACGGCUAACUACGUGCCAGCAGCCGCGGUAAUACGUAGGUGGCAAGCGUUAUCCGGAAUUAUUGGGCGUAAAGCGCGCGCAGGUG